rnacentral:rRNA from 1 species
GACGAACGCUGGCGGCGCGCCUAACACAUGCAAGUCGAACGGAGCUGAGAGAAGUUUGCUUUUCUUAGCUUAGUGGCGAACGGGUGAGUAACGCGUGAGUAACCUGCCCUGGAGUGGGGGACACUAGUUGGAAACGACUGCUAAUACCGCAUAAGCCCACGAUCCGGCAUCGGAUUGCGGGAAAAGGAUUUAUUCGCUUCAGGAUGGACUCGCGUCCAAUUAGCUAGUUGGUGAGGUAACGGCCCACCAAGGCGACGAUUGGUAGCCGGACUGAGAGGAUGAACGGCCACAUUGGGACUGAGACACGGCCCAGACUCCUACGGGAGGCAGCAGUGGGGGAUAUUGCACAAUGGGGGAAACCCUGAUGCAGCGACGCCGCGUGGAGGAAGAAGGUUUUCGGAUUGUAAACUCCUGUCGUUAGGGACGAUAAUGACGGUACCUAACAAGAAAGCACCGGCUAACUACGUG